AUAUACAUGGAAGCUCUGUUUUGUGGGUUAUUUUCUCUCUAUUUUUAUUUUGAAAAGGAAAAGGGGGGCUAGAGGAAGAGCAGGAGCUCCCAGCACUGGCAUGGAGAGCAGAGCGGGAGCCAAGUGCAGGGACCUGCACAGCCCUGCCCGGGUUUGCUUCCUAAUAACUCCCUCGGCUCUCCAAUCUGUUUGGAGUCUGGCUGUGCUGCCGAAGCCAUUUCCCCGGGGAGAAAGCAGUCUCUUCCGACCGCCCGAACAGAGUGGGAAUGGAAGAUGCAUUCUCCACCAGGGAUGAAUCGGAAAACUGACAGCCCCAAGAUAAGAGAAAGGAGAUCCAAAGCAUUUACAACUGCAGACGUGCUCUUCGCAUGUAGUGGUGAAUAGGGCUGAUUUGCAUUUAGAUUCCUGGGUAAGUUAAAUCGCAGCAUUUCAGGGCAUUCCAGGCAUUCAGUCCUACUUUCAGCAGCGUUAUUAAUAACCUACGACGCCUCACGAGGUCGACACACGAUUAGCUUCCCAGAGUCCCUUCUCACCUGGGGGAGAAGCUCGAGAGUCCCUGCCUUAGAGCGCAUCGUUCCUGCUCUUCCUUCAGCUGCCGUUUCAGUAUAUUUUUUGGCAACCUGAAGGUUCUGAGAGGGAGUUGGUGCUGAAGUUUCUGGAGGCUUCCAUGGUUGUCACGGAAACCUCAGGUUAGGCUUCUCCCAGU
rnacentral:lncRNA from 1 species